rnacentral:rRNA from 1 species
UACGAGGGGAGCUAGCGUUGUUCGGAAUCACUGGGCGUAAAGCGCACGUAGGCGGAUGUGUCAGUCAGGGGGUGAAAUCCCGGAGCUCAACUUCGGAACUGCCUUUGAUACAGCACGUCUUGAGUCCGAUAGAGGUGGGUGGAAUUCCUAGUGUAGAGGUGAAAUUCGUAGAUAUUAGGAAGAACACCGGUGGCGAAGGCGGCCCACUGGAUCGGUACUGACGCUGAGGUGCGAAAGCGUGGGGAGCAAACAGG